CCUACGGGUGGCAGCAGUGGGGAAUAUUGCGCAAUGGGCGAAAGCCUGACGCAGCGACGCCGCGUGAGGGAUGAAGGUUUUCGGAUCGUAAACCUCUGUCAGCAGGGAAGAACGGUCACUGUGCUAAUCAGCAGUGAAUUCACGGUAACUGCAAACGAAGCACCGGCUAAAUCCGUGCCAGCCGCCGCGGUCAUACGGAGGGUGCGAGCGGUAAUCGGAGUUACUGGGCGUAAAGAGCGCGUAGGCGGUAUGUCACGUCUAUGGUGAAAUGCCCGGGCUCAACGUGGGAACUGCCUUUGAAACUGGAAAACUGGAGUGUAUGAGAGGAUAGUGGAAUUCCAGGUGUAGGAGUGAAAUGCGUAGAUAUCUGGAGGAACAUCAGUGGCGAAGGCGACUAUCUGGCACAUAACUGACGCUGAGGAGCGAAAGCGUGGGUAGCAAACAGGAUUAGAUACCCUUGUAGUC
rnacentral:rRNA from 1 species